AUUGAACGCUGGCGGCAUGCUUUACACAUGCAAGUCGAACGGUAACAGGCCGCAAGGUGCUGACGAGUGGCGGACGGGUGAGUAAUGCAUCGGAACGUGCCCAGUCGUGGGGGAUAACUACUCGAAAGAGUAGCUAAUACCGCAUACGAUCUAUGGAUGAAAGCGGGGGACCGUAAGGCCUCGCGCGAUUGGAGCGGCCGAUGUCAGAGUAGGUAGUUGGUGGGGUAAAGGCUCACCAAGCCAACGAUCUGUAGCUGGUCUGAGAGGACGACCAGCCACACUGGGACUGAGACACGGCCCAGACGCCUACGGGAGGCAGCAGUGGGGAAUUUUGGACAAUGGGCGCAAGCCUGAUCCAGCAAUGCCGCGUGCAGGAAGAAGGCCUUCGGGUUGUAAACUGCUUUUGUACGGAACGAAACGGCUCUGGUUAAUACCCGGGGCUAAUGACGGUACCGUAAGAAUAAGCACCGGCUAACUACGUG
rnacentral:rRNA from 1 species